rnacentral:rRNA from 1 species
GACGAACGCUGGCGGCGUGCUUAACACAUGCAAGUCGAACGGAAAGACCCUGCUUUCUUGGGGUUCUCGAGUGGCGAACGGGUGAGUAACACGUGAGUAUCCUGCCCUUGACUUUGGGAUAACUUCAGGAAACUGGGGCUACUACCGGAUAGCAGCUCCUGCUGCAUGGUGGGGGUUGGAACUUUUCGGCUGUUGGGGAUGGACUCGCGGCUUAUCAGUUUGUUGGUUGGGUAGUUGCUUACCCAGGCAUUGAAGGGUAGCCCGCCUGAGAGGGUAGCCGGGGACAAGGGGACUGAGAUAGGGAGCAGACUGGAACGGGGGGCAAUGGGGGGGAGUAUGACACAGUGGGCGGAAGCGUGAGGAAGAGACGCCGGGUGCGGGAAGACGGCCUUCGGGGGGUGAACCGCAGUAGGCUGAGACGAAGCGGGAGUGACGGUAAUGGGUAAAGAAGCACCGGCUAACUAUGUG